UCAUAGAAACAUAUAGACAUGCCGUAAACAGAUUAUUUAAGGCUGUUGUUGUCGAUUAUUGUAGGCUGCUGUUGUCGUUGUGCUUUUGUUAAGGAAACUUUUACAAUUAAAUUAAACUAUUUCUUACGGCGGCCAGUAAACGAUUGGUUGAUAUUUUAUUCAACGCGUCGCUUUCCCCAGCAGGUGUCCAAAUCAUACAUUUUCCAGACAACAAAUACGGCACUGAAGACGCUGAGUAAGCCAAAUAUCAAUCAGAAUCCGGUUAAAAUAUAGAAUAUAUUCAUCUCGAAUAUAUAUAACGGCAAAUAAUGUCAGGUCGUAAAAGAAGAUCGCGUUCAAAGAACUCACCCGAACCACCAAAGAAGAAAGCCAGUGAGCCAGGUAA